AGUGAACGCUGGCGGUAGGCCUAACACAUGCAAGUCGAACGGCAGCACAGUAAGAGCUUGCUCUUACGGGUGGCGAGUGGCGGACGGGUGAGGAAUACAUCGGAAUCUACUUUUUCGUGGGGGAUAACGUAGGGAAACUUACGCUAAUACCGCAUACGACCUACGGGUGAAAGCAGGGGAUCUUCUGACCUUGCGCGAUUGAUUGAGCCGAUGUCGGAUUAGCUAGUUGGCGGGGUAAAGGCCCACCAAGGCGACGAUCCGUAGCUGGUCUGAGAGGAUGUCCAGCUACACUGAAGCUGAGCGACGGGCUAGACUAUGGCGAGAGGUAGCAUGGGGGAAAUUUGGCCGAUGCGGGCGAGCCUGAUGCAGCCGUACCGCUUACGUGAAGAAGAACUUCUGGUUUUAAAGAACUUUUGUUGGGAAAGAAAAGCAGCAAGUUAAAUCCCCGCUGUUCUGACGGUACCCAAAGAAUAAACACCGGCUAACUUCGUA
rnacentral:rRNA from 1 species